rnacentral:rRNA from 1 species
UGACGAGUGGCGAACGGGUGAGUAAUACAUCGGAACGUGCCCAGUCGUGGGGGAUAACUACUCGAAAGAGUAGCUAAUACCGCAUACGAUCUGAGGAUGAAAGCGGGGGACCUUCGGGCCUCGCGCGAUUGGAGCGGCCGAUGGCAGAUUAGGUAGUUGGUGGGAUAAAAGCUUACCAAGCCGACGAUCUGUAGCUGGUCUGAGAGGACGACCAGCCACACUGGGACUGAGACACGGCCCAGACUCCUACGGGAGGCAGCAGUGGGGAAUUUUGGACAAUGGGCGAAAGCCUGAUCCAGCAAUGCCGCGUGCAGGAUGAAGGCCUUCGGGUUGUAAACUGCUUUUGUACGGAACGAAAAAGCUUCUCCUAAUACGAGAGGCCCAUGACGGUACCGUAAGAAUAAGCACCGGCUAACUACGUGCCAGCAGCCGCGGUAAUACGUAGGGUGCGAGCGUUAAUCGGAAUUACUGGGCGUAAAGCGUGCGCAGGCGGUUAUGUAAGACAGAUGUGAAAUCCCCGGGCUCAACCUGGGAACUGCAUUUGUGACUGCAUGGCUAGAGUACGGUAGAGGGGGAUGGAAUUCCGCGUGUAGCAGUGAAAUGCGUAGAUAUGCGGAGGAACACCGAUGGCGAAGGCAAUCCCCUGGACUUGUACUGACGCUCAUGC